UACGGGGGGAGCAAGCGUUGUUCGGAUUUACUGGGCGUAAAGGGCGCGUAGGCGGUCAGCACAAGUCAGUUGUGAAAUCUCCGGGCUUAACUCGGAAAGGUCAACUGAUACUGUGCGACUAGAGUGCGGAAGGGGCAACUGGAAUUCUCGGUGUAGCGGUGAAAUGCGCAGAUAUCAGGAGGAACACCGAUGGCGAAGGCAGGUCUCUGGGCCAUAACUGACGCUGAGAAGCGAAAGCGUGGGGAGCGAACAGG
rnacentral:rRNA from 1 species